CAGCAGCCGCGGUAAUACGGGGAGAGCAAGCGUUGUUCGGAAUUACUGGGCGUAAAGGGCGCGUAGGCGGCCUUCUAAGUCAGACGUGAAAUCCCCAGGCUUAACUUGGGAACUGCGUCUGAUACUGGAGGGCUCGAGUGCGGGAGAGGGAUGUGGAAUUCCAGGUGUAGCGGUGAAAUGCGUAGAUAUCUGGAGGAACACCGGUGGCGAAGGCGGCAUCCUGGACCGACACUGACGCUGAGGCGCGAAAGCUAGGGGAGCAAACGGGAUUAGAUACCCCGGUAGUCCUAGCCCUAAACGAUGAGUGCUUGGUGUGGCGGGUAUCGAUCCCUGCCGUGCCGAAGCUAACGCAUUAAGCACUCCGCCUGGGGAGUACGGCCGCAAGGCUGAAACUCAAAGGAAUUGACGG
rnacentral:rRNA from 1 species